rnacentral:tmRNA from 1 species
GGGGGCGAAUUGGUCUCGACGGAGAGUUGGAGGUCAUUCAUCGCAUGCCGCAGGCGCAAGAGCUGCGUACUAAACCUUGCAAUGCUUAACUGCAAACGAACAAUACGAGCCUAUGGCUCUUGCCGCUUAAUUGACGGUGACGUCUCUUGGGGUUUCUCCCACGAGCUUUAAGAGACGACAAAAUGUGGGAUGGUUGAUGGAUCGCACCGGCGGAUCCUGAGACGAGACUAACAGACGGUUGCUCUUCAAAACCCCUGUCUCGAGGGCCGUUUGAAGAAAAGAUCAAAUCGGGGCUACGCAUGUAGUGGUGAUGACUAAAGGUCUUCGGACGCGGGUUCGAUUCCCGCCGCCUCCAUUU